CGGGACGUGACAGUUUAGGCUGGGAGCAGAAAUAAUCAACACGCCCAUUAGAUACAGGAUGGAAUAAUGCUUCUAUUGGUUGGGUCCCUUCGAGGACAGAAGAGCUCCUUGGCACUGGAUGCCUCCGGGUCUGGUUGAGAGAGGAAUGGUUAGGAGAUUGUUCUGAGGAUAUGCAGACAUCAUCCAAAGCUUCCUACAUUCAGAUGAGGACAGAGGUUGGGCUAGAGCUUUGUAUGCUUGUUACCUAAGUAUGGUUCUGACCAUGUAAGCAGAUCACAGAAGCUGGAGGCAAAUAAUGCCAAGAUGGGAAAGCCACAUAAUGGAAGGAUCCCAGAUUUCAGAGCUGUCACUUGGAGGAGGGGCACACAGUGAAGGUGUCUAUCUAACCCACACCAUAUCUUCAUGAAGUGGCCAUAUGGAUUUGAUCCCUAUCCUUCAGAGGUGCUCAGCCUAAGGGAACAUGGGUAGAAGAUUAAGCACUGACCAGAGCCAGCCUUGACAAUGUGCUGAUGGCAACCU
rnacentral:antisense_RNA from 1 species